rnacentral:rRNA from 1 species
GCGGCAGGCCUAACACAUGCAAGUCGAGCGGUAGAGAGAAGCUUGCUUCUCUUGAGAGCGGCGGACGGGUGAGUAAUGCCUAGGAAUCUGCCUGGUAGUGGGGGAUAACGUUCGGAAACGGACGCUAAUACCGCAUACAUCCUACGGGAGAAAGCAGGGGACCUUCGGGCCUUGCGCUAUCAGAUGAGCCUAGGUCGGAUUAGCUAGUUGGUGAGGUAAUGGCUCACCAAGGCGACGAUCCGUAACUGGUCUGAGAGGAUGAUCAGUCACACUGGAACUGAGACACGGUCCAGACUCCUACGGGAGGCAGCAGUGGGGAAUAUUGGACAAUGGGCGAAAGCCUGAUCCAGCCAUGCCGCGUGUGUGAAGAAGGUCUUCGGAUUGUAAAGCACUUUAAGUUGGGAGGAAGGGUGUAGAUUAAUACUCUGCAAUUUUGACGUUACCGACAGAAUAAGCACCGGCUAACUCUGUGCCAGCAGCCGCGGUAAUACAGAGGGUGCAAGCGUUAAUCGGAAUUACUGGGCGUAAAGCGCGCGUAGGUGGUUUGUUAAGUUGGAUGUGAAAUCCCCGGGCUCAACCUGGGAACUGCAUUCAAAACUGACUGACUAGAGUAUGGUAGAGGGUGGUGGAAUUUCCUGUGUAGCGGUGAAAUGCGUAGAUAUAGGAAGGAACACCAGUGGCGAAGGCGACCACCUGGACUAAUACUGACACUGAGGUGCGAAAGCG